rnacentral:rRNA from 1 species
UACGUAGGGCGCAAGCGUUGUCCGGAAUUAUUGGGCGUAAAGGGCGCGUAGGCGGCUUGGCAAGUGGAUGGUGAAAUCCCUCGGCUUAACCGAGGAACUGCCGUCCAAACUGCUUCGCUUGAGACCGGAAGAGGCGAGUGGAAUUCCUGGUGUAGCGGUGAAAUGCGCAGAUAUCAGGAGGAACACCAAUGGCGAAGGCAGCUCGCUGGGACGGUACUGACGCUGAGACGCGAAAGCGUGGGGAGCAAACAGG